rnacentral:rRNA from 1 species
GAUGAACGCUAGCGGCAGGCUUAAUACAUGCAAGUCGAGGGGCAGCACGGGUAGCAAUACCUGGUGGCGACCGGCAAACGGGUGCGGAACACGUACGCAACUUUCCCAAAACUGGUGAAUAGCCCUCCGAAAGGAGGAUUAAUACACCGUAACAUAAUGAAGUGGCAUCACUUUAUUAUUAUAGCUCCGGCGGUUUUGGAUGGGCGUGCGCCUGAUUAGGUAGUUGGCGGGUAACGGCCCACCAAGCCUUCGAUCAGUAACUGGUGUGAAGAGCAUGAUCAGCCACACGGGCACUGAGACACGGGCCCGAUCCUACGGGAGGCAGCAGUAAGGAAUAUUGGUCAAUGGACGCAAGUCUGAACCAGCCAAUGCCGCGUGGAGGAUGAAGGCCCUCUGGGUUGUAAAAC